UAUGGCUCAGAUGAACGCUGGCGGCAGGCCUAACACAUGCAAGUCGAACGGUAACAGGAAGAAGCUUGCUCUUGCUGACGAGUGGCGGACGGGUGAGUAAUGUCUGGGAAACUGCCUGAUGGAGGGGGAUAACUACUGGAAACGGUAGCUAAUACCGCAUAACGUCGCAAGACCAAAGAGGGGGACCUUCGGGCCUCUUGCCAUCGGAUGUGCCCAGAUGGGAUUAGCUUGUUGGUGGGGUAACGGCUCACCAAGGCGACGAUGGGUAGCCGGCCUGAGAGGGUGGACGGCCACAUUGGAACUGAGACACGGUCCAGACUCCUACGGGAGGCAGCAGCUAAGAAUCUUCCGCAAUGGGCGAAAGCCUGACGGAGCCGACGCCGCGUGAACGAAGAAGGCCGUGAGGUUGUAAAGUUCUUUUCGGGAGGGGGAACAACCGUGGCAGGGAAUGGCCGCGGGAUGACGUGAAUCCCGGAAUAAGCCCCGGCUAACUACGUGCCAGCCGCGGC
rnacentral:rRNA from 1 species